rnacentral:rRNA from 1 species
AUUGAACGCUGGCGGCAGGCCUAACACAUGCAAGUCGAACGAGUGGCGGACGGGUGAGUAAUGUCUGGGAAACUGCCUGAUGGCGGGGGAUAACUACUGGAACCGGUAGCUAAUACCGCAUACCAUCAGAUGUGCCCAGAUGGGAUUAGCGUGUUGGUGGGGUAACGGCUCAACAAGGCGACGAUCCCUAGCUGGUCUGAGAGGCUGACCGGCCACACGGGAACUGAGACACGGUCCAGACUCCUACGGGAGGCAGCAGUGGGGAAUAUUGCACAAUGGGCGAAAGCCUGAUGCAGCCAUGCCGCGUGUGUGAAGAAGGCCUUCGGGUUGUAAAGUACUUUCAGCGGUGAGGCGUUACCCGCAGAAGAAGCACCGGCUAACUCCGUGCCAGCAGCCGCGGUAAUAC